UUGUUUAACUUUCAGUUGCUGCAGCAACUGAGUAUACUGGGCCCAGCCAGAUUCUCUGGGUGCUUUCUUCUUUCUUAGUUCCCCCUUUAUUGUGGGCCCUCCUCAGUGCCAACAUUGCUUUGUCUCUCGCUGGAGAAGCCUGUGAGAACGAGGAUGGGCAAAGUGUCAGGCUCUUGGUGCAGCUGAAAAUCCUUUGAGAUGGAAGAAAUGGCUGGAACAAAGGGGCAGAGGAACAAAAAGCCCUGAACUGCUUCGCCCCUGCCUCGUGGGGUCUUUAUCAUCUUAAACCUUGGGAUUUGGGCUUUGAUCAACUCGGCCUUCCUGGGCCUCGGGGAGAGAGACGGACUGCCUCCGGGUGCUCAUGACCUUUCCAGCAGUAAGCCAAUAAUGUAUGACUCCUGCGUUGCCGUUGCUCGUUUGAGGAACAUCUGUCCAGUCCCUGGGAUGGUGAGGCUAUAACCACAAAGGAAUAAGAGAAGACGACUAGUUUUGUAAUGGCUUUGAAUGAUGCAUUGGCCCACGUGGACCACCUUCCAUUUCCCAAGACUUUUUGAAGGCAAUGAAUGAGAAGAAAGCAGAGAAAACAGUGGGCGUGAGGUCAGAUGACUCAGGCUUGAGUACUGAUCACAUCAAGGAUUGGACGCACUGCUCUUAGGAAGGCACAACUUCUACUACUUUCAGUCUUAUCAACUGUGAGAGUGUACCCUUGCUGUAGAUGCCACCCGCCCAGCAGUCCUCAUCAUCUUGGCCCAGGAUCACCUGAAACAGAUGAUCCUCCUUUUGAGCUACCAUCAGAAGGUCCACAGUACUAGCCCAGCGCUACAUCCCAAUGCCUACGCCAUUCAUCUCACCUCAUCUCAUCACGUAGACAUUUCAUCAUGUCACAUCAUCACAAGAAGGGAAGAAGAAGCAAAGCACACCAUUGAUGUGUGUGGGUUUGAUGUAGCAUCUUCUAAGAGGUCUACAAAGAGACAUUGCAAAGCCAGGCCUCUAAAUGAUUCCUCUGUGAAACAUUGGGCCAAACAUUCCGUAACCCCUUCCUGCUCUGGUGAUCAUGUAAGUAGAUAUUCUGGAAGCACUUGCUCUACAGAUGGAGAAUUGUCACCAUCUGCCAGGACAGCUCCUGCUCAUCUUUCAUGACUCAGCUCACAUGUCAUAACUUCAAGGGGCCUUCAGCUCUCUGGCCCUUCCUGCCCCAUGAAGGCUCUACCCAGUGCCCCCAACUUUGCUCCUUCGGCUGCAUUUGAAGCAUUUACCUGUGCUUGUUAAUUGUUGGUGGAAUUGUCUGUAGACUGUGACCUUGAGUGUGCAGAGUCUUGUAGAGUCAUCUCUGGAUUCCCCACUCUGAGAACCACGCUUGGCCAUUGCAGGCUCUCAACAAAGGCUUGCUGAGGGGAUGAAUGAAUGAAUGUAUGGAUGGCAUGAAUGUAUGGGCUCUGGUGAAUUUUUUGCCCACAUUUUGCUGGCCAGCGGCUGCAUUGGGUCUGCACACUGAACCCUUUGGCUCAAGGUAUCAGAGCUGCUCUCCUUCCAGUGAAGACUUGGAUGGAAGACUUGAGAUGCAGGUUAUGGGGAUACGUGUCACCUCUAUUCCUCAUUCAGAAGGAUACAUACCUCACUGGACCAUAAAAAAUGAGAACUGAAUUAUCUGAGUGUUUGAAUAAACUUCCACCUUGUUACUCCACUACAGUCUGAGAAAACUUCACUGCACAAAUAGAGGCAGUGUACACCCCUCACAGACACUUUCCUUUCUCCUGUUGAGAGGUGAAGCCAGCUGGACUUCUGGGUCGGGUGAGGACUUGAAGAACUUUUUUGUCUUACAAGAGGUUUGUAAAAUGCACCAAUCAGUGCUCUGUAAAAACGCACCAAUCAGCGCCCUGUGGCUAGCUAGCGGUUUGUAAAAUGCACCAAUCAGUGCCCUGUAAAAACGCAGCAAUCAGCACUCUGUGGCUAGCUAGAGGUUUGUAAAAUGGACCAAUCAGCACUCUGUAAAACAGACCAAUCAGCACUCUGUAAAAUGGACCAAUCAGCAGGACAUGGGUGGGGACAAAUAAGGGAAUAAAAGCUGGCCACCCCAGCCAGCAGCAGCAACAACACGGUCGCGUCCCUUUCCACGGUUUGGAAGCUUUGUUCUUUUGCUCUUUCCAAUAAAUCUUGCUACCCUUCA
ensembl:lncRNA novel transcript